GACGAACGCUGGCGGCGUGCUUAACACAUGCAAGUCGAGCGAUGAAGCUCCUUCGGGAGUGGAUUAGCGGCGGACGGGUGAGUAACACGUGGGUAACCUGCCUCAUAGAGGGGAAUAGCCUUUCGAAAGGAAGAUUAAUACCGCAUAAGAUUGUAGUACCGCAUGGUACAGCAAUUAAAGGAGUAAUCCGCUAUGAGAUGGACCCGCGUCGCAUUAGCUAGUUGGUGAGGUAACGGCUCACCAAGGCGACGAUGCGUAGCCGACCUGAGAGGGUGAUCGGCCACAUUGGGACUGAGACACGGCCCAGACUCCUACGGGAGGCAGCAGUGGGGAAUAUUGCACAAUGGGGGAAACCCUGAUGCAGCAACGCCGCGUGAGUGAUGACGGCCUUCGGGUUGUAAAACUCUGUCUUUGGGGACGAUAAUGACGGUACCCAAGGAGGAAGCCACGGCUAACUAC
rnacentral:rRNA from 1 species